rnacentral:rRNA from 1 species
UCGGGAAUUUUGGGCAAUGGGCGCAAGCCUGAUCCAGCCAUGCCGCGUGAGUGAAGAAGGCCUUCGGGUUGUAAAGCUCUUUUGUCAGGGACGAUAAUGACGGUACCUGAAGAAUAAGCCCCGGCAAACUUCGUGCCAGCAGCCGCGGUAAUACGAAGGGGGCUAGCGUUGUUCGGAAUUACUGGGCGUAAAGCGCACGUAGGCUGAUUGUUAAGUCAGGGGUGAAAUCCCAGAGCUCAACUCUGGAACUGCCCUUGAUACUGGCAAUCUCGAGUCCGGAAGAGGUUAGUGGAAUUCCCAGUGUAGAGGUGAAAUUCGUAGAUAUUGGGAAGAACACCAGUGGCGAAGGCGGCUAACUGGUCCGGUACUGACGCUGAGGUGCGAAAGCGUGGGAGCAAACAGGAUUAGAUACCCUUGUAGUCCCUGAGCGGGCUGGCAAGGCGCAU